rnacentral:sRNA from 1 species
GAGAUUUUGGUUUAAAAUGUUUAUUUUUGGGAAAAGCUAUUCUCGCAAAUAUAUUUUUGCGAAAACAUGUAUUGGCUAAAAUGCUAGGAGGCUACAAAAGAAAUGGAACAUGGUAAAGUAAAAUGGUUUAACGGUGAAAAAGGCUUUGGCUUUAUUGAGCGUGAAGGCGGAGAAGAUGUAUUUGUUCACUUUUCUGCAAUCCAGGGGGAAGGGUACAAAACAUUAGAAGAAGGUCAAGAGGUGACCUUUGACAUCGAAAAUGGCCAACGUGGACCACAAGCUGUUAAUGUCCAAAAACAAUAAAUGGCAACAUGAAACAAACCCCAAUACAGGGGUUUGUUUUUU